GGUUGGCCCGCGUUAGGGAUUGCAGCGGCAUCCUUUUGUUUUUCUAUUGAUAUAUACGAACUAUUCAUUAUAGCUUUUAAUAGUGUUGUGGAUUCCUGCCUGCGCAGGAAUGACAAAACAAAAGAUAUAGCGGAAAGCCCGACCCGAG
rnacentral:sRNA from 1 species